UUUAAGUGGAUUGGGGUUUUAUUAUGAGAAAAUGGUGGGGGGAUCUGUGCAAGCCUAAUCAUUAUAGUUUUCCGAUUAUUGUUAAGGUUUGUGGUGAGUUUGGGUGUGUUAGAGAAGGGGAAAUGGAGCUAAGAUCUCUGGAACUUCGAAUGGUGUCAGGAUCAAAACGUAUCGGGUUAAAAAUAAGUUACGAAAGCUAAAAUCAGAAUGUUAUCGAAAUACAGGUGCUUAAAUUCACAAUGCCUUUGCAUAUUGCUGGUACAAAUCAAGGUGAACAAGAAAAAGCAGUUUGAUAAUUAUAUUUAAAAUAUUCAUGUGCUGAUUGAUGAACUUAUCUUCAAGGACAUCCGUAUCUGUUUUAGGAUUCAAAUUAAAACAUUUUAUUACUGCAACAUUACUUUGGUGCAAUAAAAACUCGGAUAGCAUAAUAAAACCCUGUUGCAGCAAAGUAGUGGUGCAUUACGAACAAACCUGAUUAUAAAGGAUGAAUAGAUUUUAGUUAUGGUAAGCCUCUGGAAAGUGGGAAACCAAACAAAAAUGCCAUGCAUCAAGAUAGGUAUUUUUUGCAUCCAUAUUUUCAGUAAAAUCUGGACAACUUUUAAACGAUAAACCAUUAGGAGCUACUUAACAGGUACAGAAGGAUAAUUAGAUACACAACCCUAGCACCAUGUAUCAUUUUAUAUAGAUAUUUCAAAGACUU
rnacentral:lncRNA from 1 species